rnacentral:rRNA from 1 species
UACGUAGGGUGCGAGCGUUAAUCGGAAUUACUGGGCGUAAAGCGUGCGCAGGCGGUUUUGUAAGACAGGCGUGAAAUCCCCGGGCUUAACCUGGGAACUGCGCUUGUGACUACAAGGCUGGAGUACGGCAGAGGGGGGUAGAAUUCCACGUGUAGCAGUGAAAUGCGUAGAGAUGUGGAGGAAUACCGAUGGCGAAGGCAGCCCCCUGGGCCGAUACUGACGCUCAUGCACGAAAGCGUGGGGAGCAAACAGG